rnacentral:misc_RNA from 1 species
GGAAGGAUCAUUAACACGUUUCCAACGUUAAACCUUUGUGACAGAGGAUCAACACAUUUUUGGUUGGAUAAGCAUUUAUCGCGGUUCCGCGAAUGCACGGAGAUCGAUGCGCCGCAGAUUUUCGAGGGAAAUCCUAUUCAAAAGAAAAAAAUGCGGUUAUGAGUACGUAUUUCUUGAGAUACCUGUAGCCAACCGGAUCGUGCCGCGGAGCGGGUUUAUGUGAGUGCCUGGUUGGUCUUUCCUACUUAAUGCUGUUCCAAGGAAAGACUCUUCCUGUUGUUUAAAGGUAAACAACUGGUUGCAGGAGUCGCGCAAUUAUAUUGAUGAUGAUUGAUCCAAGUUUCAUUACCUGUGGAUUACCCGGUAAUAACCCAAAACAAACCCCACGACCUUAAACCUUUUAUCAAAAAACAACCAGUUUGUUUAAGAAAAGCUUCCAGCACCAACGCUGGUCUUUCUCUUGAAACUUACAAAUGCUGAACAACUCUUAGCGACGGAUAUCUUGGUUCUCGCAACGAUGAAGAACGCAGCGAAAUGCGAAACGUAAUGCGAAUUGCAGAAUUCAGUGAAUCAUCAAAUCUUCGAACGCAGACUGCACUCUCGACUAAUAAUCUUGAGUACGCCUCAUUCAGUGUCGACCAAAAUCUCUUUGGUGUAUCCUGGCCCGGAAGAGCGGAAGUUUUGUCCUGCGGGAGCCGUCGCCACACGGUGAAUAUCCAGGGACGGGUAAAUGAGAAGAGCUAAAGCCCGUAAAAGAGUUGGCGUCGUGGCCAUUCUGAAAAUUGAUGUGUAGGAGCUCCUGGGGAUACCUAAAGGUCAUGAGUGUCGGUCUCUUUCUUGGAUCGCGUGUAGUUUGUUCCCUUUAACCUUGGUGGUUUAAUGAGCCAAGGGGGAAACAUUAACCCAGCGCACCGGCUUCACGCGGUAUACCAAGUAUUAGACUAGACCGUCACUUGAAAUUCAGCCGACGAUUCGUUAGUUCACUUUGGAGUUAUCCAUUGACAAAAACGAUUCCGUUCUGUCCGUUUUUGGACAUACUCGGAUAUCUUUUCUCCUUCAUGGGAAAAAAGGUCCAAGUUCCUGUUCAAAGACGCUUGAAGGACAGUUUGGAAAUGGGACUUUCCGAAUUUUGUGUUGCGGUAAAAACGGGUGCGUCAGAGCGAUAUUCAUGGUGUCCAAAAAAUACAUAAUGACAGGACAGUCUCUUUUCUGGAUGUACAACACCACAAAGUAGCGAACGUAAGGAGUGUUUCGGCCUUCACAACUAGUCAAAUGUGGACCGGUGUACUGAUGGGAUUGAGGCUUCGUACAUUCAAACGUAACUGUCGGCCUUCUUUUCGGGAGGGCGUCGUCGCCUUGUUAGCUGGCCUGGGACAUUGCGAAUAGAGCUCUGCAACAGCAUGAAUCAAGAACUAGACCUGAAUUGAAGCGAGACUACCCGCUGAACUUAAGCAUAUUAUUAAGCGGAGGAAAAGAAACUAACAAGGAUUCCCCUAGUAACGGCGAGUGAAGCGGGAAGAGCUCAAAAUGAAAAUCGGUUUCCCAAACGGGCCGCCGAGUUGUAAUCUAAAGAUGUAUGGUCUGUGCGCGACCUGGGUAUAAGUCCUUUGGAACAGGGCAUUAUAGAGGGUGAGAAUCCCGUUUAUGACCUGGAGUUCGCCGCGUACGAUAUACAUUCAACGAGUCGUGUUGCCUGGGAUCGCAACACUAAAUGGGUGGUAAAUCUCAUCUAAAGCUAAAUACUGGCGAGAGACCGAUAGCGAACAAGUAGCGUGAGCGAAAGAUGAAAAGAACUUUGAAAAGAGAGUUAAAAAGUACUUGAAAUUGCUAAGAGGGAAGUUAUGAAAACCAGUCUAUCCUAUGGUAUAUUUACCAAUCAAGCGGACAAGGGUUAAGCGUAUGGCUGCGUAACGGCACUGUUGCUUUUCCUUUUGUAUCGACUGGUUGGGUCCUGUACCUUUGGCUGUGUCAGCAUCACUUUGGUUUGCCGGAGAAGCCUUGUGGGAAGGUAGAUUGCAUGCAGUUUCGGCUGUUUGUUUUUCGUUAUAGCCCACGAGGUUUACGGUGGACUGGAGUGAGGAACAGAUAAAACCACAUCCAAGGCACCGUUGCCCGCUUGGUUUUCCUGAUUGGACAGCAAAGCUGUGUUGUUGGGACCGCUAAGUGUGUUUUGCAAUGGGCUCGCCAUUUGUGGUUUAGCGAUGCUGACGAAAUGGUUUUCAUUGACCCGUCUUGAAACACGGACCAAGGAGUCUAACAUAUAUGCGAGUAUUUGGGUGAUUAAAACCCUGAUGCGUAAUGAAAGUGAAGGUGCUUCGGCACUCAGGUAGGAAUCCUUGCUUCGGCGGGGAGGCACUAUCGACCGAUCGCCGCUUGCGGUAGAUUUGAAGUAAGAGCAUAUCUGUUGGGACCCGAAAGAUGGUGAUCUAUGCCUGAACAGGGUGAAGCCAGGGGAAACUCUGGUGGAAGCUCGUAGCGGUACUGACGUGCAAAUCGUUCGUCUGAUUUGGGUAUAGGGGCGAAAGACUAAUCGAACCAUCUAGUAGCUGGUUCCCUC